rnacentral:rRNA from 1 species
UUCAACGGCCGCGGUAUUUUGACCGUGCAAAGGUAGCGCAAUCACUUGUCUCUUAAAUGAGGACCUGUAUGAAUGGCAUAACGAGGGCUUGACUGUCUCCUUUCCCCGGUCAAUGAAAUUGAUCUUCCCGUGCAGAAGCGGGAAUUCUAACAUAAGACGAGAAGACCCUAUGGAGCUUUAGACUCAGAACAGAUCAUGUAAGCUACCCCAAUGAAUAGGUAAAACUAUUAAUUCCUGUUCCCUGUCUUCGGUUGGGGCGACCACGGGGAAUAAAAAAACCCCCAUGUGGACCAGGAGCACAUUACCCUACAACCAUGAGCCACAGCUCUAAUGCACAAACAUUUGACCAUUAGAUCCGGCAAGCCGAUCAACGGACCAAGUUACCCUAGGGAUAACAGCGCAAUCCCCUUUAAGAGUCCAUAUCGACAAGGGGGUUUACGACCUCGAUGUUGGAUCAAGACAUCCUAAUGGUGCAGCCGCUAUUAAGGGUUCGUUUGUUCAACGAUUAAAGUCUU